UCUGAGACCCCGAAACUAGACGAGCUACUCCGAAGCAGUCUAAAAGGACUAACCCGUCUCUGUGGCAAAAGAGUGGGAAGACUUCCGAGUAGAGGUGAAAAGCCUACCGAGCCUAGUUAUAGCUGGUUGCUUAAGAAAAGAAUAUGAGUUCAGCCUUAUAAGUUUCUCAAAAAUCAAAAUGAAAGAAUAAAGUAACACAUAAGAGUUAGUCGAAGGGGGUACAGCUCCUUCGAAAAAGAACACAACCUUACCCAGGUAAAUAAGGAUUAUACUAAAAAAGGACAUGACUUUCAACAGUGGGCCCGAAAGCAGCCACCUCUAAUAGAAAGCGUUAAAGCUCAAGAACAGCCACACCAAAAAUAAAAAUAACCACUCCUAAUUUCCUAAUAAUAUUAAGCUACCCUAUUUUAUAGGAGAAAUUAUGCUAAAAUGAGUAAUAAGAGAAACUAGACCCUCUCCGGGCACACGUGUAAAUUAGAGCGGACAAACCACUGACAACUAACGGACCCAAAAAAGAGGGUAAAACAACAAAACUCAAUAAACAAGAAAAACCUAUUAAAACAACCGUUAACCCAACACAGGAGUGCCACUUAAGGAAAGACUAAAAGGGGAAGAAGGAACUCGGCAAACACAAACCUCGCCUGUUUACCAAAAACACCGCCUCCUGCAAAUAGAAUGUAUUGGAGGUCCUGCCUGCCCAGUGACAAUAGGUUCAACGGCCGCGGUAUUUUGACCGUGCAAAGGUAGCGUAAUCACCUGUCUUUUAAAUAAAGACCUGUAUGAAUGGCAAGACGAGGGUUUUACUGUCUCCUCCCCCCAGUCAAUGAAAUUGAUCUACCCGUGCAGAAGCGGGUAUAAAAACAUAAGACGAGAAGACCCUAUGGAGCUUUAGGCACACAUCAAAUAUGUAAAAAACCAAAUCUUCCAAAUAGGCCUAAAAAAUGAGAAAAACAAGUAUUAAUGAUUAAUUGCCUUCGGUUGGGGCGACCACGGGGAAAAAUAAAACCCCCACAUGGAAUGGGUAAAAUUAUCCUAAGCCAAGAAAAACAAUUCUAAGCAACAAAAUUUUUGACCAAUAAACGACCCAGGGACAACAUCCCUGAGCAAUGAACCAAGUUACCCUAGGGAUAACAGCGCAAUCCUUUCCCAGAGCCCAUAUCAACGAAAGGGUUUACGACCUCGAUGUUGGAUCAGGGCAUCCUAACGGUGCAGCCGCUGUUAAGGGUUCGUUUGUU
rnacentral:rRNA from 1 species